UUGGGGCUGCAUUCAAAGUUUGCGUCGAUUGGCUAGAUCGCGAACGGCUACCGUUUAUAGGCCGUAAACGGGAACCUAAGUGGCUUUGCCAUAUGCAUACCAGAUAGCCCGCCGGGGGCCCCAGCUUUACACGUUGCCAUUUCUUUUCCAUUGCCGGAAGAGAUUGUUCAUUCCCUAGACACAACCUUACAAACCCAGAGAAACGAAAAUUACCCGAAAAUUACCACUAUUCACAAUGCCAUUAAUCAAGUAUGACAAUUUGCAUUCAAAGACAUCAUCAUGAUACACCGCCCCCACUUUUCUUUGUUUGGCUAUAGCGACCAGCUAGAGGUCAAGUUUUUAUAUACCGGCCCGGUCACCGGUGUAGAACUUCAGUUUCCUUGACAAAUUUGUUUAAACACAAUUACACUUGGCAUGAUAUACGGUAUUCCCGGAGGAUUAAAAGUCAUUUAAAUGAUCAAUUUAUGAAAAGAGCGCCACACCUUCCACUUCACCCUGUACUGCACGGCGGGCCCUCGCCUCCGUUCAUCAAGGAUGGCUUCAAUUUCAUACUCCACAUCGUUGCUGUAGUCUUGGCUUGAAUAGACAUACAACGGUACAUCCCCCUUCUUGUACGUUGCUCUGCAUGUGUACGAGUUUCAAAAAUCUCAUUAUAAAGUUGGUAGACAUGUUCAUAAUUAUUUUUAGUGUGUGCACAAAAACGAUUGGUUUACGAAGAGAAGUUUGAAAUUCACGCUCGCGGGUAGCAUCUGCCGUCUGGACACUCCACCCAUCCCGGUCUCUUCCUGUCAUCAUUGUCGCCAGGGUACUCA
rnacentral:lncRNA from 1 species